UACAGAGGUCCCAAGCGUUGUUCGGAUUCACUGGGCGUAAAGGGUGCGUAGGUGGCCAGGUAAGUCUGAUGUGAAAUCUCGGAGCUCAACUCCGAAACUGCACUGGAUACUAUCUGGCUGGAGGGUCGGAGGGGGGACUGGAAUUCUCGGUGUAGCAGUGAAAUGCGUAGAUAUCGAGAGGAACACCAGUGGCGAAGGCGAGUCCCUGGACGACUCCUGACACUGAGGCACGAAAGCUAGGGGAGCAAACAGG
rnacentral:rRNA from 1 species